GGGAAAGAGAAAAGGAUCGCGCAGGGAGGCUUGGCAGCUGAAGCUGGCAGCUCUCCUGGCAGGCCUCUAACAAAGCCAGCACCAUGCCUUGGACUUUUACAAGGACCCAACCCACAUGCCUGCAACAGUGUGAGCAGGAGGCAGAAGGCCCAUGGGAACCACAGAAGCUGCUGCGUUUCCCAGACAGGGUUUCUCUGUGUAGCCUUGGAUGUCUUGGACUUGCUUUGCAGACCAGGCUGGCUUCAAACUCACAGAAAUCCACCUCCCACAGUGCUGGGAUUAUAGGCCUGCUCCACGCCCAGGAGCCUACCAUAACUGUCUUCUGAGAGGCUUCAUCUAGCCUCUGAGGGAAACAAAGAGUCCCACAGCCAACCAAUAGGUGGCGCUUGGGGAACCUUGUAGAAGAGUUGGGGGAAGGACUGAAGGAGCCUGAGAGAUCAAGGCCACCACAAGAAGACCUACAGAGAAACUAACCUAGGCCCAUGGGGGCUCAGAGACUGAACCACCAGCCAGUGAGGAUGCAUGGGCUGGACCUACGCCCCUCACACAUAUGUAGCAGAUGUGCAGCUUGUUCUUCAUGUGGGUUGCCUGCCUUUUUGUCACUUUCACAUAGCUGGGCUGCCUUUCUGGCCCAUGUAGGAGAGAGGAUGUGACUAGUCCUGUUGUGACUUGAUGUGCCAGGGCUGACUGGUUUCCAUUAGGGGAGCUCCCUUCUCUGAGGAUAAAAGAAUGGGGGUUUGGAGGAGGGAUAUAAAGGUGGGACUGUUAGGAGAGGAGGAAGGGGAGCUGUGAUUAGGCUGUGAAUUGAAUAAAAUAAAAAUA